AGCAGUCGCCACGGGAAUACGUAGGGUGCAAGCGUUAAUCGGAAUUACUGGGCGUAAAGCGUGCGCAGGCGGUUAUAUAAGACAGAUGUGAAAUCCCCGGGCUCAACCUGGGAACUGCAUUUGUGACUGUAUAGCUAGAGUACGGCAGAGGGGGAUGGAAUUCCGCGUGUAGCAGUGAAAUGCGUAGAUAUGCGGAGGAACACCGAUAGCGAAGGCAAUCCCCAGGGCCUGUACUGACGCUCAUGCACGAAAGCGUGGGGAGCAAACAGGAUUAGAUACCCCCGUAGUCCCUGUCUCUUAUAC
rnacentral:rRNA from 1 species